AGGAAUGGGUCAGCUCUUUCUGCCGAUAGUAAUGCAGAUACUGAAUUUAUGAAAUUUUUAGGGGGAGUAAAAAGUGAGCUCUCUAAACUUCCUGAGGAAAG